rnacentral:rRNA from 1 species
GACGAACGCUGGCGGCGUGCUUAACACAUGCAAGUCGAACGGAAAGGCCCUGCUUUUGUGGGGUGCUCGAGUGGCGAACGGGUGAGUAACACGUGAGUAACCUGCCCUUGACUUUGGUAUAACUUCAGGCAACUGGGUCUAAUACCGGAUAGGAGCUCCUGCUGCAUGGUGGGGGUUGGAAAGUUUCGGCGGUUGGGGAUGGACUGGCGUCCUAUCAGGUUGUUGGUGGGGUAGUGGCUUAGCAAGACCUGGAAGGGUAGCCGGCCUGGGAGGGUGACCGGCCACGUUGGGACUGAGAUACGGCCCGGACUCCUACGGGAGGCAACAGUGGAGAAGAUUGCACAAGGGGCGGAAGCCAAAUCUGGCAACGCCGCGUGGGGGAUGACGGCCUUCGGGUUGGAAACCGCUGUCGCCUGUGACGAAGCGUGAGUGACGGUAAUGGGUAAAGAAGCACCGGCUAACUACGUG